rnacentral:sRNA from 1 species
UUUAUUCGCCGUUGGUGGCACAGGUGCUAACCGUUGCGUCUGUCUCUUCUAUCACUUCUAAUUAACACUACUUUUGCCCUCCACCACUCAAGUUACAAAGUUAGGGUGUCCGAUCGAUUUAACAGAUUACAUCUCCAUUUUGUCUGGCGCAGUCGUCCUGUACUCAUCUUGUUCUUCCGAAAGAGCUAUCAAUGGCCUCCGGCCGCGUACUCUACAACCAAAUCACACUAUUAUUGCCUUAAACUUAUUUUCUUGAAUAAUGUCGAUUGCCUGCUGUUAGUCUGCAGGGGAAAUCCACCAAGCUUCCACCUACGGGAAUGAUACAAUGAACGCGGACAACAGUCGAUGCCCAAUUUAGGAGAUGCUGAAACAGCAACUCCCUGGUUUCGCGAACGUCGUAAUGGCGUCUAUAUUUGCAGACGUGCACGUUUCUUCUCACUAGUACAUUGCUUCACAGAUGACAAGAUUAUCUGAUAUUUUGAUAUUGCGCGGGCAAUAUAUCUAUUUUCAUACCUCCAAGCCACAUGUCAGUUUGUUGACAUCCAACGAAACAC